UUUCAUGCUCAAAUAUCAGUACAAAAAAAUUCAUCUAAGAAAUCAAUUAUGCUUGAAUUUUAUCGAAAAAUACAAACUGAUUCUGCUAUGCAUAAAUCCCAAAAAAGUAUAAAUAAUAAUUUUAAGAAAUCUGUUAAUGUUGAUAUCAAACAAAAUAAAUCUUCAUCUUAAUAAUAUAAAAAUAAGGAUCGUAUCGCUUUUGAUAUCCAUGUACUUGAACGCUUGUUAACUGUCCUUCUUGUUGCAUUCUAUAAUAACGUAUGUAUAAAUAAUUUCAAAUUUUUAUAUAAUUAUAAGAAGAAAUUACUAAACUUACGUAUAUGUUCGAGGUAUAAAAGAUAAUAAUGUUCCAUCAUUAUGAUCAUUUGAAAAUCUAAGUUGUGCUAAAUUAUGUAGAAAGAAAUUAAAUUGUGUAAACCAA